UGUGCUGAGAACAUUGGGGUAUGCUGAGAACAUUGGGGUAUGCUGAGAACAUUGAGGUAUGCUGAGAACAUCAAGGUGUGCUGAGAACUUCGAUGUGUGCUGAGAACAUCAAGGUGUGCUGAGAACAUCGCAGUGGAUUGAUAACAUCAAGAUAGACUGAGAACACCCACAAUGUACUAAGAACAUCGAAGUGGACAGAUAAUGUUGACCUCAUUGUGAAUGUAAAACCAUCAACGCAGGCAAGCACGCACGCACGCACACACGCGCACGCAAGCACACGCAAGCACGCAAGCACACGCGCGCAUGCAAGCACGCACGCACGCACACACGCGCACGCAAGCACACGCGCACGCAAGCACACGCGCACGCAAGCACACGCGUGCAUAUACGCCUCCCGCUUGAGUGUUAGGUUUAUCACUACGCGCGGGUAAACAGAAUUUUCUGUGAUGUAUUUUAACGGCACUCGAAAACGGUAACGGAACCGACUUUUCAGCACCAUCACAACUUACCAGUAGAUUUACCUUAUUAAAACUGCCCCCGUCGCAUCUCUCAGAGUCAAACUGCUACUGAGUUUAGAGUUCCUUUUCCUUAGCUCGUAUGAUUCUAAACGUAAUAUUUAGUUUGUGAAUUCUACUAAUGUAUAAGGUAUUAAUUUGUAGGAGAGAGUGAAUUAUAUAUAUAUAUGAUAAAUAAAUAUUUGAAUGAUGUUAUAUAGCCUAGAAUCAAAGCACGAGGGACGAGAAAGGAAGAAAGAGUGCGUGUUGUGCGUGCGUGCGUGCGUGCGUGCGUGCGUGCGGGCGGGCGGGCGUGCGUGCGUGCUGGUGUGUCUGCGUGUGAGAGAAAGAGAGAGAGAGAGAGAGAGCUAGAGAGAGAGAGAGAGAGCGCUGCGGGACACGACGUACGAGCGUACGUGCGAGAGACACUUCACUGAGGCUAUUAAGGAAAUGCGUAGCCUAUCUGGCUCUCAGUCGAAAAUUUACCUGAAUUACAAACAAACAAUUACCGAACCUACAAUUAAAGGGCAAACAUGUAGGGGCAUAAAACACUUUUCAAGUAGAACCGAACGCAUUUCGAUUACCUUCGUAAUAAGGCAGCGUAAUAAAAUAAUUUCUUGUCCUUUUGUCGAGCGCCGUUAAUUAACAAAUAAUUAGGUCCGUGUUUUUUUUAUUAGAUUAUAUGUCAUCGAUCGAGCAAGGAGCACGAGGGACGAGAAAGGAAGAAAGAGUGCGCGCGUGCGUGCGUGCGGGUGUGUAUGUGAGAGAGAGAGAGAGAGAGAGAGAGAGAGAGAGAGAGCUGCGGGACACUGGAAGGGCAGGGGAGCUGGAGCGAUCGACAAAAAAAAAUAGCAUAAAUGUUAGGGUGAGUGGUUUGUGCGCGCGUGCAUGCGUGUGUGCGUUUGCGUGUACGAGCGUACGUGCGAGAGACACUUCACUGAGGCUAUUAAGGAAAUGCGUAGCCUAUCUGCAUGGCUCUCAGUCGAAAAUUUAGUCACGAAUAUAUUUUGAAGUUUGCAUAUAAAUAUUGAUAACUAAACUAUAUACGUCAUCGUGCCUGUAUACAUAUUGCUUACAAAACAAGAUGUAUAAAAUUCUAAGCGUUGAGAAUUAUUUUAUCCGACACCACAGGGUUUAUGUUUACGCAUGUCUGAUAUUGUGGGAGUAUGUAUAAUCCUGAUCGUAUUCUAUGGCCUAUAUACACGCGUACUAGUUAGCAUGUUGCAAAUUGGAGCGUGAUUAAUUAUGUACUUCGCUAUUAUUGUAAUUAAAUGAGACCAAGGUGAAAUGUUGGUGCCAUGUUUUCAUUUGUGUUUCUACUGAAAAGUCGCUCUGCACAAUAUCAUGACUGAGUUACAAAGUUUGCUCUCUGUACAGGUUAAUAUAUGAAAUAUGAAAUUUUACUCGGAAUUUUAUGUUGGUCACUGCAUGUGCACGGAAAAACGGCAAAAUUAAGUCGUCUGUAAUUUUGCUGUUUUGUACUAAAAAUAGCAUUUAUUUGUAUAUGAAGGCUGUAGUGCUGUUUAUGCUUGGUUCUUUAAAAAAAAACACUAUUUGAAAUCA